GUUGGCGACGGCGAUAGGGCCUUCAAAUUUCGCCCAUUUGGCAGGAAUUGGAUGGUGAAUUUGGUGUGGCAACUGCUGGAGAGGCAGCUCUAUCGGAGGCGUGGCAGUGGCUGCUCUGGACCUGUGCGGUGGAUUGUCAGGAGCGUCGUCAAUAAACCCUAAAAUGUCGUCCAAUUGGCAUCAAAUGUGUGGUGUUGAUGACGGGGCAGCUGCUGGAGGGGUAGAUCUGUCGGAGGCGUGGCAGGUACGUGUGAUUAUUUGGUUGCUCUGGACCUGGGCGGUGAAUUGUCAGGAGAGUCGUCAAUAUAUUCUAAGAAUGUCGUCAAAUUAGCAG